UACGUAGGGGGCAAGCGUUGUCCGGAAUCAUUGGGCGUAAAGAGCGUGUAGGCGGCCCGGUAAGUCCGCCGUGAAAGUCCAGGGCUCAACCCUGGAAUGCCGGUGGAUACUGUCGGGCUAGAGUCCGGAAGAGGCGAGUGGAACUCCUGGUGUAGCGGUGGAAUGCGCAGAUAUCAGGAAGAACACCAACGGCGAAGGCAGCUCGCUGGGACGGUACUGACGCUGAGACGCGAAAGCGUGGGGAGCGAACAGG
rnacentral:rRNA from 1 species